rnacentral:rRNA from 1 species
UACAGAGGGUGCGAGCGUUAAUCGGAAUUACUGGGCGUAAAGCGCACGUAGGCGGCUUGGUAUGUCGGGUGUGAAAUCCCCGGGCUCAACCUGGGAACUGCAUCCGAAACUGCCUUGCUAGAGUAUGGGAGAGGGAAGUGGAAUUUCCGGUGUAGUGGUGAAAUGCGUAGAUAUCGGGAGGAACACCAGUGGCGAAGGCGGCUUCCUGGCCUGUUCUUGACGCUGAGGCGCGAAAGCUAGGGGAGCAAACGGG